AGCACACGAAGCAUGAAGAGGGCAUGGGGAAGGCCACAUGUGCACAGGUGUUUGCCAGACGGCACUGAACUUUGUAACAAAGCGGAAGAAACGGCAGACCAAGCUUUUCUUUCCUGAUUCAGAACUCACUUUGUCUUCGGGUUUGUCAGUACAGCUAAUGAGUUUAUUUCUGGUCAGAAUAUUUUCUGAGGCUCCGGAAGCUUUCAGUACACAUGGGAGCGAAUGGAAGGGACACGAAAACCAUUUCUGCAAGUUUUCACUUAUCACACUAAUUACCUGAGGUGAAGAAUACUACAGAUGAAGUUAUUUUGGAAAUAGUAAAAGCCAGAAGUAAACAAAAUAAUAGUUCCCUGCCAAGCUGCAAAACAGGUAACCUUGGUCAAGAGGGAUGAAGCACAAGAAGGAAAUGCAAGAGGACAGGGACUGAGCACCUGUAAGAAAAGCAGAAGGAAAAAACAAAUAAACCACUGCUGUGGAAAGCCUGAAAAAAGAAGGAAGUAUUACAGAGGAUAUCCACUGCCAGACUUCAUCUCUGCGGCUUUUGAAGUGGGUCAUGUAAGUUUAUCUCUCUUUCUCUUCCUUGAAAGAGCUGCCAAGAGUACAGAGCAGAGAGCCAAAAAGACAUUUAGCAUUUACCUGUUCUCUUGGCAUGUAACAGGAAUUUAACACUAUCUAUUAAACACAAGUGUGAACGUCCAAUCAGCUGAAGACAAGUCAGAGCGACUGAGGCCUAAAGCAGCCGCAGUGCUAAGCAACCUUAUCACGACAUGCACCAUCUCUAGACAUCCAUAAGUCAUGGGGCUGCAUUUAUUUAGCUACACACGAGCUGAAGCCAUGAUGUGCAGCCAGUUUAAAGCAAAUUUCAAAGUUCAGAAACAGACUGCAUAAACUAGAAAAGGAUAGAAAGCCCAAAACAAGAGACUGGUGAGGAAGAUCCAGAAAGAGGAAGAAUAUCUGAAUUAUUUUAUGUCAAAAUUCACUUGAUGUCUUGUGUGGCAGUUACAUGACAAGAAGAGAACAGAAGUAAUUUAGGCAAGGACAGAACAAAUUAAAGAAACAGGUCUCUGGAAGUAGGACUGAACUAAAGCUAUUAGAAAUCCAACCUCGUCUCUACACAACAUUAGCAGCACGUAGCUGAACACGCUGCUUUUUGAGCCCCCUUCCUAUGCUGGUGCAUGAUUCACAUAGAUAAAAAGUAGCAUGAAACUCUGCAGCUGAUAAAUGUAGCCAGGCAGUACAGGGGUCUCAAAACACACACCACUGCACACACUGCACUUAAGCAAAAAUGAAGUGCUGAGACAGACAGAGGUGGCAGCAUUAAAGACUCCAUGUCCAGCAAUCAGGUGGCUUAUUCUGCUCUGGGCUUUGCAGCAAUUGUUCUUAGCACACGCUGCCUCCCUGCAAGAGUCAAACACCUAGGGAAAAGAUAACAAAAUACUGAAGCAAAACUGUCUGACAGGAGAACAGCUGGAGCUGUGAUGGCAGUCAAGUCAUUAGCAUACAGCAGAGGAGCUCCGUGUUGCCACUUCCCCCUCCAAUGGGAUUAGGAGGGCAAACAGAUUUAAAUGCUUCUCUCAGUUUGACAUGCAAAGGCACACAGGAUGAUCCAGGAACACCAAUAUCCAAUCUCUGUUCAAAACCUGCUUUUCCAAAAUGAGGCAUGAAAGAUUCAAACCUUUGAAAGGAACAGGCCCAAAGAAACGUAACAGAGAGAUCCUUUUUCAACUCCUAUGCUCUCUCAAAUAUAUUCCCACCUCCAAAUCUGUAAGCAUGCAAGAAUUCUCAUUUUCCUCCAGAUUUGCGAGUCUGAUUCUACCGAACUUAGCAGAAAUGCUUUGACAAUGAAGACAUCCAAAGUCUAAACACAAAGACUUUUCUCAUUUAUGUGUUCAUCAUGUGUUGUGAUCACAGUGCUGAACAACCAUCUGUUACUACAGAACAACUCUUCUGGGCUUCAGAACAUUACCAGUUCAGAGCCUCUGAUGAAGAUCUACUUGAAAGAUCUGCUGUGAUUUUGGUUAAGGGGAUGCUUUGUUCUCAAGUGAGCUGACAGCUCUAGUAGAUACCACUGAUUUUCAAGAGCAGGAUGCUUGCUACAUUUUCAUCAACCUGUGUAUAAAAUUUGUGGAGACCUCACCUAAUAAUCACAAGGACAGCAGCAGCCAUCACAUACACAAACAAGUAUGAGAGCCUCAUCAACAAAAGGCAAAAAAAGAGCUCUGAUCCACCAGAACAUUUAGUCUUAAUCACGUUUUUAAAUGCACUAAGAUUUCUCAUGACAAUGCUUUUCACUUACAGAAUGUGCUUUAUAUCAACUCCCUUUUCAAGACGAUUAUUCAAUCAAAUCCUUAGAAUGAUAUUCCUUAGUCAUCUACUGCAUAUUGCUGUCACUACUCAUGGGAAGAGUCUUCCCCAGCCUGAGAGGAAUAGGCUGCAUUUGGUUUAGAAUGAUAAAGAAUCAGUACACCAGCAUGACUAAGCCAGAGCUUCCAGAUUCAGUUCCUUAAUAUAAAGGUCAGACUAACAAUGAAAUGUUUUCUUCUCCCUUUUAUUACCUUCAAAAUGGGAUAGAGAAAUGUUAGAAUUAGCUGAAUAACAUGCAACAGCAUUUACAUAGGAAAAUUAACUGAAACCCCAGCCUGGUUCUCCCUUACAGUCCUUUCACUGCAGUACAAUGACUCAAUGUCUCAUUGCAUUUUUGUCCUUUUUUUUUUUCCCUUCAGAAUGGCAGAAAUACCAGGCACCCACAUUCCUAAAAAUUACUGCAGACAUUAGAAAAGUUGCUUGAGAUUGGCUUUGCUUUAUGGGGAUUACAAAAGAGAGGCCUACAGUUCUCCAGCUUAAACAACCACUACAUACAGCUUUUCUUUGUCAGCAUAAGAACAGUGCAUGGUGACUGCACUGACAAGCUCAACAUGUGCUAUUUUAACAAGUAUCACUACUGCACACCCACAGGCUACAGAUGUGUGCUAAGCUAAACUACUGGCCAGUGUUCACCACAAAUGAUGUAGCCACCUUGUUAUCACCCCAGUCCUCCACUCCAGUAAUCCUCUUGUGCAGGGGCUGGUGCCUAAGCAUAAAGACAAAUGAGCCAAUUGAAAAUGAAGACUUGAAUUCUUUCAGCCAGUUCAGCUUGCCAAGCUGGUGACAGCAACAGGCACAGCACUGAAAUGAUCCGAUUGAGCAAGGAGGCAGCCAUUUGGAAGCAGGAACAUCGCAGCUACUUGAGAGGCAGCAGUUAUUUUGCAAUCUGAUGGGUAAGUGCAUGUAAACACCCCAAAUUCUGUGACUAAGGGAAAGAUUCAUCUUUAAAUAGUAUGUGCUCAAACACAAAUCAAAUCAGCCAUUUAAAACUCAUUUCAGAAGGGAGCAGGUCAUAAUUCUGGUGGACAAAAGAGCUUUCACUACUAUGAAAAGUGGGGGUUAGAGACAUCUAGAAAUAGGCACACAGGAACAAACAGAGAGGUGUUAUAAAAAGGUCAGGACAACAGCGUAAAUUUUGGCAAGCAACCUGACUGCUAUAUUGACAGCUUACAUUCACCUUUAGAGAACAGGGUAAGUACAGGCUGAUGAAAAUAAUUAGAACACUCAUUAAAUCGGGUGCUGCCACACGCCACAAGCUCUAAAAUGAGUCUUCCAUCCGGGGCAGGGAGGAAAUGCUGAGCAGGUCUUCCCAGCAGUGACAGCACAGCCCAUGGUGCUGCAAGCAUUGUACCACUGACUGUUCAGAAGUUUAAACUGCACAGAUGGGUAGAAUAAGGUUUUCCCAAAGAAUGUGAUAAACUGUUAUUAGAUGUUAGAUCUUAUUUUCAAUUACACAAAUCACUACAACAAAAGCCUUUCUGACGCUACCGCUGCUUACACACAAAAUAUUCCUGCUGUCACAUGCAGUGAUUAUAAGCUUCUAUUUCACAGAAACCUGUAAUGGCUGAAAUCAAGGUGAGAAGCACCGACACAACACCUGCUCAUUUGCUUUCCUCCCACCCCAGCCGCAAGCACAGCACCCCACGGCCAGGGCCUCCUCGCUGGGAGCCUCCCC